UACGUAGGGUGCGAGCGUUGUCCGGAAUCAUUGGGCGUAAAGCGCACGUAGGCGGUUUGUUAUGUCGGAUGUGAAAGCCCUUGGCUCAACUGAGGAAGUGCAUCCGAAACUGGCAAGCUAGAGUACUAAAGAGGGUCGCGGAAUUCCCGGUGUAGAGGUGAAAUUCGUAGAUAUCGGGAGGAACACCGGUGGCGAAGGCGGCGACCUGGGUAGAUACUGACGCUGAGGUGCGAAAGCGUGGGGAGCAAACAGG
rnacentral:rRNA from 1 species